rnacentral:rRNA from 1 species
GGCGGACGGGUGAGGAAUACAUCGGAAUCUACUCUGUCGUGGGGGAUAACGUAGGGAAACUUACGCUAAUACCGCAUACGACCUACGGGUGAAAGCAGGGGAUCUUCGGACCUUGCGCGAUUGAAUGAGCCGAUGUCGGAUUAGCUAGUUGGCGGGGUAAAGGCCCACCAAGGCGACGAUCCGUAGCUGGUCUGAGAGGAUGAUCAGCCACACUGGAACUGAGACACGGUCCAGACUCCUACGGGAGGCAGCAGUG